rnacentral:rRNA from 1 species
CCUACGGGAGGCAGCAGUGGGGAAUAUUGCACAAUGGGGGAAACCCUGAUGCAGCGACGCAGCGUGAGUGAAGAAGUAAUUCGUUACGUAAAGCUCUAUCAGCAGGGAAGAAAUACUGACCUUACGGUCAGCAGACGGUAUCUGAGUAAGAAGCCCCGGCUAACUACGUGCCAGCAGCCGCGGUAAUACGAAGGGGGCAAGCGUUAUCCGGAUUUACUGGGUGUAAAGGGAGCGUAGACGGUGCGCCAAGUAUGGAGUGAAAUGCCGCGGCUUAACUGCGGAACGGUUGUGGAAACUGGCGAACUAGAGUGCGGGAGAGGUAGGCGGAAUUCGGGGUGUAGCGGUGAAAUGCGUAGAGAUUAGGAAGAACACCGGUGGCGAAGGCAGCUUACUGGACCGUAACUGACGUUGAGGCUCGAAAGCGUGGGGAGCAAACAGGAUUAGAUACCGCGGUAGUC